UACGGAGGGUGCAAGCGUUAUCCGGAUUCACUGGGCUUAAAGGGUGCGUAGGUGGCGCCGUAAGUGGGGUGUGAAAUCCCGGGGCUUAACCCCGGGACUGCAUUCCAUACUGCGGUGCUUGAGGACUGGAGAGGAGACUGGAAUUUACGGUGUAGCAGUGAAAUGCGUAGAGAUCGUAAGGAAGACCAGUGGCGAAGGCGGGUCUCUGGACAGUUCCUGACACUGGGGCACGAAGGCCAGGGGAGCAAACGGG
rnacentral:rRNA from 1 species